CUGCAGCUCAAGUGGUGGCCGCUAUUAUUGGGCCCAAAACGUCCGUAGCCUGUUUAGUAAAUGCUUGGGUAAAUUGUGUAGCUUAACUAUACGAAUACCGGGUAGACUGCUAAACUUGGGACCGGGAGAGGCUAGAGGUACUCCUGGGGUAGAGGUGAAAUUCUGUAAUCCUAGGGGGACCACCAGUGGCGAAGGCGUCUAGCUAGAACGGGUCUGACGGUGAGGGACGAAGCCCUGGGGCGCGAACCGGAUUAGAUACCCGAGUAGUCC
rnacentral:rRNA from 1 species